rnacentral:lncRNA from 1 species
GCUGGGAGAAGACCUGGUCGACUACGAGGCUUCUCCAGAACGCCCAGGUAUGGAUGUAAAUAUUAUUACAUUUUCUGCCGAUUGUACUAUUAUCGGCGACGAUGAACCUGUUGUUGCCCAGUUUGAUUUUGGUCCUAAAGAAGCCGCCUUUACUAAACCAAAGGAAUCGGUAAAUCAUUUAAAGCCGCUCUUCGUGCGUGGUCACAUUGAUGGGAUACCGAUUGCUAAGAUGUUGGUAGACGGAGGGGUGGCUGUAAAUCUAAUGCCUUAUUCAUUGUACAGAAAAUUAGGUAAAUAAGAUGACGAACUUGUCAAGACCAACAUGACCCUCAGCGGUGUUGGAACUGAUAGUUCGAUCAAAGCCAGGGGAGUCACGUCCGUUGAAUUAACCAUCGGGACUAAGACCCUUGCUGCUGCAUUCUUUGUUGCUGAUGUAGAAGGAAAUUACAGUUUAAUCCUAGGCAGAGAUUGGAUUCACGCCAAUCAAUGUAUACCUUCUACAUUACAUCAAAUGCUAAUACAAUGGGUAGGCGAUGACAUAGAACAAGUACAUGCUGAUGUUUCGGCCUGCAUCGCUGUGGCCGAUGCCCCUGUACUCUGGACUUAUGAGACUGCUACAUGUCUCACAGGAGUAGAUUUUUCUGAUUAUCAAUUCAUAAGUAUAGAUAAGAAAGGUUUCAUUCCUGUAAUGCUAGAGCCGAUGGAGAAUCGGCUAAAUCCUAAAUAAAGUUUAAAUGAUGAAUACACACAAAGUUCAUGAGUCUUUGGUCACGGACAGUUCGGCCGCCAAGGCCGGAUGGUCUGGUCUUUCACGAAAGAGUUCGGACUUUAAGACCGAACAUCUACCACAGCGAAAAGACAGUAUUACGGAUGAUCCGGUCCCCGAGACCGGAAAGUCCGCCAUCACACAAAGAUCAUCUGAUUCCUCUGUGGGGGACAUGAUAGAGGAAUUCAGAGAUCUUGAUAAACUAGGACAUGGGUUUACAUCGGCCAAUCCUUUGGAGGAGAUUGACAUAGGAGAUGGUAAAACUCUAAGGCCGACUUUUGUAAACAAGACCCUGGAGACCGAUUCUAGAAAUGAGAUGAUCGGUCUAUUGAAGGAAUAUUCAGAUUGCUUUGCUUGGAAUUAUACUGAGAUGCCUGGAUUAAGCCGAGAGAUCGUAGAGCAUCGGCUGCCUAUUAAAUCUGGUUUCAGACCUUUCAAGCAAAGAGCUAGAACAUUUCGUCUGUACCUUCUCCCACGCAUCAAGGACGAAAUCCACCGGCUGCUAGAAGCUGAUUUUAUCAGACCUUGUAGAUACGCAAAGUGGGUCUCCAAUAUUGUGCCGGUGGAGAAGGAGACAGGUAAACUUAGAGUAUGCAUUGAUUUUCGCAAUUUAAAUAGAGCAACUCCUAAAGACGAAUAUCCCAUGCCCAUAGCCGACACAUUAAUCAAUAAUGCAUCAGGAAAUAGAAUUAUUAGCUUCCUUGAUGGUAAUGCCGGAUAUAAUCAGAUUUUCAUGGCCGAAGAAGAUGCGUCUAAAACGGCCUUUAUAUGUCCAGGCUUCAUUGGUUUAUUUGAGUGGGUUGUCAUGACAUUUGGUCUGAAAAAUGCUGGUGCUACUUAUCAGAGGGCUAUGAAUUUGAUCUUCCAUGAAUUGUUAGGAAACACUGUGGAAGUUUACAUUGAUGAUAUUGUAGUCAAAUCGGCUGAGUUUAGUUCUCAUAUAGCUGAUUUGCGCAAGGCCUUUGAUAAAAUGUGUCAGUAUGGUUUGAAAAUGAACCCACGUAAAUGUGCUUUUGGAGUGUCGGGUGGUAAGUUUUUAGGAUUUGUCAUACAUGAACAUGGUAUAGAGAUAGACCCUGACCGAAUCAAGUCUAUUCGGAAUGUGGGGCCUCCGACCUGUAAAGUCGAGGUACAGAGGUUCCUCGGCAAGGUGAAUUAUUUACGACGGUUUAUUUCUAACCUAGCCGGGAAGAUUGAUGUGUUUACCCCUAUUCUUCGGCUUAAGAAUGAUGCCGAAUUCGCUUGGGGGCAGAACAGCAAGAAGCAUUUGAUCUCAUCAAAAAAUACUUAUCUUCGGCUCCCGUAUUAAAAGCACCACAAGCAGGAGUGCCAUUUCGAUUAUACAUUGUAGCUGAGGAUAAGGUCAUUGGGGCUGUUCUGACACAAGAAACUGAGGGGAAGGAGCAUGUGGUGGCAUAUCUAAGCCGAAGGUUGGUGGAUGCUGAAACAAGGUACACUUUUAUUGAAAAGUUAUGUUUAUGCUUGUUUUACGCAUGCACCAAAUGUAGAUGUUAUUUGCUGUCUAGUCAUUGCACUGUUUCUGGUCAAGCCGAUGUGAUCAAAUACAUGUUGCAUAACCCAAUUAUGAGUGGUAGAAUUGGUAAGUGGGCUUAUGCACUAAUAGAAUAUGACUUGGCCUAUGAACCAUUGAAAUCUAUGAAAGGCCAAGUCGUAGCGGAUUUCAUUGUAGAACAUCGGGUUAAUGAUAUUCAUGAGCUAGACAUGUCAUACCUCACUAUUACUCCUUGGACUUUAUAUUUUGAUGGAUCGGUUUGCAAUGAAGGGCAAGGAAUUGGCAUUGUACUUGUUUCACCAAGUAAUGUCUCCUUUGACUUCUCUAGCCGAUUGAAAACUUAUUGCACUAAUAAUCAAGCUGAAUAUGAGGCCCUCCUAUUCGGUUUAGAACUUUUAAAUGGUAUGGGAGUAAAACAUGUGAUGGUAUUUGGUGAUUCUCAGCUGGUUGUCCAACAGGUGUUAGAAGAAUAUCAAUGUUUUGAUGGUACUCUAAAUAGUUACCUUGAGAAAUGUUGGAGCAUAAUCCAUUCUUUUGACGAAUUCAGUAUUCGGCAUAUCUCUAGAGUUGAGAAUCAUAGAGCUAAUAAUUUGGCACAAGAUGCAUCAGGUUAUCGGAUAAAGAGAGGGAAGUUUCACAAAACUGAAAAUCUGAUAACCAGUGCAAAGCCAAAUUCCCAGGUCGCAGACCGUCCGCGUGAUGACGCCGGACCGUCCGGGGUUACCAGAAAUGUUCUUUUCGUUAAUUCGGCUGACAAUGAAGCCGAUGCAAGUGAUUGGAGGACACCUAUACUUAAUUAUUUACGAAAUUCCAAUAUCAGGACAGAUAAGAACAUUCGGCGAACAGCUUUCAAGUAUGUUUUGAUGAGUGAUGAACUUUACCGCCGAACAGUCAAUGACAUCCUGCUUAAGUGCUUGGGCCCAGAUCACGCUAUAUUAGCCAUGGCCGAAGUACAUGAGGGAAUUUGUGGUACUCAUCAAUCAGCUCCAAAGAUGAAGUGGUUGUUGCGAAGGUCUGGUUUUUAUUGGCCUAGUAUGAUAGCUGAUUGUUUCAAGUACUACAAGGGUUGCCAAGUGUGUCAAAAAUUCGGCGACCUACAAUUGGUCCCUGCAGCCGAAUUACAUCCUAUCAUCAAGCCUUGGUCGUUCAGAGGAUGGAGAUUAGACUUUAUUGGAGAAAUUCAUCCUUCAUCAUCAAAGGGGCAUCGGUUUGUGUUAGUUGCCACUGACUACUUCACCAAAUGGACUGAAGUCGUUGCUCCAAAGAACAUGACACACAAGGAGGUAAUUGAGUUUAUAACUGAGCAUAUCAUUCAUAGAUUCGGCAUUCCCCAGACCUUAACUACAGAUCAAGGUACUUCUUUUAUGUCAAAAGAGGUACGUGAAUUUGCUGAAUUAUACAGAAUUAAGCUGCUUAAUUCAUCUCCAUAUUAUGCUCAGGCCAAUGGUCAGGCCGAGUCUAGCAAUAGAACAUUGAUUAAUUUGAUAAAAAAGAAAAUAUCUGAUAAUCCUAAACAUUGGCAUAAGAUUUUGUCUGAGGCUUUAUGGGCUCAUAGAAUAUCUAAACAUAGGGCUACUAAAGUAUCUCCUUUUGAGCUUGUCUAUGGGCAGGAAGCAGUGUUGCCUGUGGAAAUAAGUUUGAAUGCUAUUAGGUUCGCCAGACAAAAUGAUCUAACUGUUACCAAUUAUUAUGAUUCAAUGAUGGAUAAUAUUGAUGAGGUGACUGACAAAAGGAUGAUAGCUUUGGGAGCAAUAGAAAAGGAUAAAAUCAUGGUAGCCAGGGCCUACAACAAGAAGGUCAAAGCAAAAUCAUUUCAAGUAGGGGACCUGGUGUGGAAGACCAUUCUGCCUCUAAGGAAUAAAGACCGGAAGUUCGGGAAAUGGUCACCAAGCUGGGAAGGCCCUUAUAAAGUAAAACAGGUGAUGUCUAGCAACACCUAUUUGCUACAAACAUUACAAGGCAAAGACUUGCCUAAGCCUUUGAAUGAGCGUUUUCUCAAACAGUACCAUCCUAGUAUGUGGCAGGAUGCCUAAGAGAACCGAUGUAAUCACAUCGAGUUAGUUGCUUUUGGUUUGCUCAGCUCUACCAAAAGGCAGGGGGGCAUAUGUUGAGCACCAUAUUGAGCGGCCGGACGGUCCGGCCCUGAUGCCGGACGGUCCGCGGUCCGGACAGUCCGCGCCUGUGGGCCGGACGGUCCGCGCAUGCGCAGAGUAGUUUAGGGUUCCGAGUUUUGUGCUAUGUUUGUUGGCUAGAUUUGCGUAAUUAACCCGGAAUCCAGUCGUGUAAAGGGUCCAGCCCCCCUCCUCUAUAUAAAGAGAGGUCUACGGCCGAUUUGUAAUCAACAAUCGAAUCAAUACAACUUAUAUUUCGCAUUUUAUCUUAGGAGUAGUUCUAGUCUAGUUUAGGUUUAGCCUCUCGAUCCCCAAAUUCUCCGCCUCUCCUCGACUCUACGUCGAUUAGAGGAGUCUAGGUCGGCCUACCCGAGCCUAGACAACUCCUAGGAUCUCUCCUCCCUGACGGGGUCCCUCCCGGGAGCGAGAUCCAGGCGCCGCUGGCGAUCUUCCGCCGCCCCUGCGUACGCGCGGACCGUCCAGCCCUAGGGCGCGGACCGUCCGGUCGUCAGGCAGGGAACCCGAGCUCCUGCACCAGGUCGCGGACCGUCCGGCGCUGUGCCGCGGACCGUCCGCGCUUGACCAGAGAGCACCGCCGCCUCACGCCAGGUCGCGGACCGUCCGGCCCUGUGCCGCGGACCGUCCGCGCCUGACCAGAGAGUACCGCCGCCGGUUCUUCUUGAGUAUUUGGCGCUUCGAAAAAGCGUCAACAAUAGGUCAGCUUCAAUCCGACACAGGUCGUUCCGAAAUCAAACACAUGCUAAAACGGUACCUCGACCCAGUGCAUAUGCAUAGUAGUCGACCCAGUGCAUAUGCGUAGUAGGGACCUGCAUAUUCGUGCACACGUCCCCAACGGCGGCGGCGGAUGGCGGACGUGCCGAGUGCGUGGCCCGGUUCCAGGCCAUCAAAAAAAUCGUGUACGGGAGAGAACUGAACUCGCAAAGUCAGAGACAGCGCGUGCGAGUAGAAGAUGAAAGCAGAGUGUCUGGGUGCCGGCAGUAGGAAUUGGCUGCCGUUCUGCCAAGAAAAAUGCGUGCGUAAAAUUCGCGGAUUUGCUGCGGUCUGCGGAUGCGAGUGAGGAAGAGCCGCGGAGCGCAGCAGGUCGCAAGCUGGCGGUGUCGUGUUCGUGUAGGAUGCUUUUGUGUGGUGUCUGCCGGCCGACUGGCUGAGCACGCGAACUUACAAAUUCACGGUCACUCGUGGUCGGAACUCGGAAGUGUGGAGAGCUGGAGACGUGGCCGAUUCGCCGGCACCAUUUUUAUCCUGCCUACUCCAUUUCUCGGUUGCGAAGAAUUACACUGGUUCAGCCAGCGUGCUGUGGUGGAACUGGCCGGCCACCAGGCUCGUUAACCAAAGUCCCUUUAGAUCCCAUAAUUUGCAUCUAGAGAAAAUCUCUUCGAUGCCAUUCAAACUUAUACUAAUCCUUUCAAUGACAUCAGAUUUUAUAGCUUCCCUUCAAUGCCAUCAGAUUUAAAUUCUAAUCCCUUAAAUAUCAUUGCCGUUAGUUUCAAGUUAACGCCGUUAGUUCUAUUUAAAGUAAAUCUCUCCAAUGCCAUCAAAAUCUAUAUCAAUCCCUUCAAUGCAAUUAGAAAUUGGUUUGAUUUAUUUGGAUUUUAAAAAUUGUAGAAUAAAAAAAAUGGACCAAUUCCACACUUUUUAAAAACUUUAGUACAUAUUUUUUUGUAAACACCAAAAAUUACUCCGCUAUAUCUGUUCGGUCUAUUUGAUUCCUAAUAUUUUUUCAAACUAACAACAAACACUAAUGAUAACAGAUGGAGAUAAAUUUUAAAAUCAAUGUGGUAUGUUUGCGUUUCAAAAUUUUUGGGUUCAAAAAAUUUUCUAUUCUGAAAUUUUUAAAACCCAAAUAGAUCGAACCAAUUUUUAGUGGCAUUGAAGGGAUCAGUAUAGAUUUUGAUGACAUUAGAGGGAUUUGCUUUAAAUAUAACUAACGGCGUUAACUUGAAACUAACGGCAAUGACAUUUAAGGGAUUAGAAUUUAAAUUUGAUGGCAUUGAAGGAAAGCUAUAAAAUCUGAUGGCAUUAAAGGGAUUGAUAUAAGUUUGGAUGGCAUUGAAGAAAUUUUCUCAUGCAUCUACUAGACGGUGAAAAGGACAGGUUACGCCUUCUUUGGUUCUAGCUGGCUAAAGUUUAACAACAAGUAUUAGCUAACAAAGGAGUGUUUAGUUCUUUAGAUAAUGGACUAGCUAAUCACUAAAGGCUAUUUUACACUUGGCAAAGGCUUUACCGAGUGUAACACUCGGUAAAGAACACUCGGCAAAGAUUUCAUCGGCAAAUGGUUCUUUGUCGAGUGUCUGCUGAGUGUCAAAAAGCACUCGGCAAAGAAAAACACUCGGCAAAUUAAGAAUCGAAAAAAUUAAAAAAAACAGCAAAACAUUUUUUAAAUUCUAGGAACAACUCUCCAACCCUACCCUAUUACCUUACCCGUUGCCCUAUCAUUUUUCACUAUUAUUUUGAAUCAAACUUAUAUGUUUUGUAAAUGGUGAGAUUCGAACUCGCAACCUCUCUCUCGCGCAUACCCUUCUAUACCACUACACUACUACACCAAUUAUGUUUAUAUUACGUUUCCAUUCCUCAUGUACUAUAACAAAUCGAGAGUAAUUUGAUUAUUUAAGGCACUAAAUGAGUUCAUUUGAAAAUGUGACCAACUAUAAAGUUGUAUAAUUUUUUGAGAUCUAAAAGUUUUAUUUUAAUAAUUUCUACAUCCGAGACCGUUUAUAAAAUUUGAAUUUUAAAUUUAAAAACUUCACACGAAAUUUUCAAUGAUAAGAUGAUUUCAAAUCAAAAAAUUGUCAACUACAAAGUUUCAUUACAUUUCAAGACCUACAACUUUUAUUUUGGUGGUUUUUCCAUCUGAGACAGUUUGAAAAAUUCAAAUUUCAAAAUUCAAACAUAGUUUUGCAUAACAAGAUGAUUUCAAACUAAAACAUUGUCAACUACAAAGUUUCAUAACUCUUCAAUACCUACAACUUUCAUGUUGGUGGUUUUUCCUUUCGAAGUCGUUUUCAAAAUUCAAAUUUUAAAUUUUUUAAAUUCAGACAUAGUUUUCGUCGAUAAUAUGACUUCAAAUGAAAAAGUUGUCAACUAUAAACUUCUAUAACUUCUCAAGAUCUACAAAGUUUAUUUUGGUUGUUUGGUAAUUUGUUUAUCUCAGAUGAUGGUUCUAACAAUAUGCACAAAUUCUAUACGUCUCUCUCGUAGUUUCAUAAACUACGAGAGAUAUAGGUUUUAUGAACAAAUUUAUUUUUAUUUUGUCAUAUGAAGAAAUGUUCAAUAUAUAAAUUGUACAUCAUGAUGAGUUAUACAAAUUUGUAGUUGAAAACUUUUUCAUUUGAAUUAAUUUACUACUUUAAAAUGUGAUUUUUAAAUUGUCUUUGCCUAGUGUUGGAGAAAAAACACUCGGCAAAGAGCUCUUUGCCGAGUGUUGUAUUUGUGACACUCAGCAAAGAACCCUUUGCCGAGUGUAAAAAAAGACACUCGGCAAAGAAACUCUUUGCCGAGUGUCAAAAAUAAAACACUCGGCAAAGAGCUUCUUCGCCGAGUGUUUUCUUUUACCGAGGGUUUUUUGUGUGGCACUCGGCAAAGAGCUCUUUGCCGAGUGCCCGAAAUAAAACACUCGGCAAAGAAUAUGGCACUCGGCAAAUAGCCAAAUUCCGGUAGUGAAUAGCUAAUAUAAACAAAAUAACAUGCUUGCUCGUUUAUCGUUUUAAUCUCAAUCUGUAUGGAUUGAAGGGACUAAGUGAGUUUAAAUCUCUAUCAAGCCAAAAAUCCGUUCUAAUUCUUUCCAAUCCCGAUGGGACGAGAAUAGCCAAACAGAGCCUUAGAUGGAUUAAUAUAUAUUUAUAUUGAGAUACACAUGUGAUUAGUCUAUAGAUACACUAGUGUGAGCUAUAACUUGAAUUUGUUUUGGUGAAGUGGCUUGGUUAUGUUAAUACACUCAUCCAGUGUAAUGAAAGAGUUCAUUUCAUAUAAGACAUGACAUGGUAUCAUAUGGCUAAGUGGAGAAGAUCAAGAGAUAUGGACUGACUAUGAUGGACCGGGUUGCUAGUGUGAAAGGUACAUCAGAGGCUUAGGUGGGAUGGACCAUAUGAUGGUGAAGAUAGAGCAAGGACAUAGCGUUGAUAGACCAGUUGUAACCAUGAAGUGAAAGCAAAGUUAUGAUUGAUAAACCAAUAAGGCCACACAAUGAAAUAAAGUGAAUCAUAUCAUUAAAGGAAAUCAAGCCACAUGUUGAUUUGUGUUGUUGAUCAAGUGGCUUAAUGAAUUGAAGAAAGAUGAAGAAACUAUAUGCUAUGAAUAAUGAUCAAAGGUAGUGUGGUUGACUAUACUAUAGACGAUCGUUAUUCAUCAUUUGGCGAAGGAUAAAGAGGAACUUCAUUCUAUGAACAAUGAUCAAAGUUAGCAUAGUUAGCUACACUAUGGGUGAUCAUUUUUCAUCAUUUGAUGAAGGGUAAGAAAGGAACUUCAUGCUAUGAGCAAUGAUCAGAGGUAGCAUGGUUAGCUAUACACUAUGGAUGAUAAUUUUUCAUCAAUUGGUGAAGAUGGAUGAAGUUCAUCUUAUGAACAAUAAUUAAAGGUUGUGUGGUUGGCUACACCAAUGAUUAUCAUUAUUUGUCAUUUCAUGAUGGGGGUUGAUGCUUGUGUUGUGUCAUCAUUGGAGAUAAAAUGGAACGCGUAAGGCAUAGUUAUGACUUAGAACAUUUCAUAUUAAUGGUAAAAGUUUGUGUAGAUAAGUGCAUGUUCGAGUUUAAGAUAUAUGAUUGUACUAUUAAAAGGGACAAACUUGUUUGCAUAUCAUUCCUCUAGUGCCACUUAAGCAAUCUAACUUUGCAUAAAUUGCUAGAUUAUUUGGUGAUUGAAAGUUGAGAAAAACACCUUAAAAUGGCUUGAAAAUGCUAACUAAGGUUUAAAUUUGUUGAUCAUUCCAUGGGAGAUCAUUUGGAGUUGGCGUGCUUUGGAUUUUUUUGAUACGUUCCUAACUGAAGAUUAGAUCUUUGGAGUGGAAUUCUAGGUUGAUCCAUUGUAUUUUGGAUCAAUUAUUCAAGUGGGUUCUAUAUCCUUCUGAAUAUUUUUUUUGAAAAAUUCAUGGUCAUUAAAAUCGAAGUUCUGAUAAAGAAGUUAUGAUUGUUUUUAGUUGCGCUAGAGAGUCUUACUCGAGUUUUCAAGCACUUGACAAAAUUUCUGAACAAAGUUGACUCUGUUGGCCAUGUGGGUAGCAUCCCAAAAUUUCUGAGCUAAGGUGGCUACAAACUCCAAUGUUGGAGUGUGCAUUAGCGUGUUGACCGAUCGUUGGGGUUUGUUUGAGUCGCUCUAGAAUUGCAGUGGACCAAAAAUUCCAAGGUGGAGACUAUUUUUUGCUCUCUUUAGAUAGAGUGGGUGGUUGGAAUAGUUUUAAAAAUCAGGAGCCAAGGGGACUUUGUGUCCAUGUUUUGAGUGAUUUAGUGCCAUCCAACUCACUAGUGAUCGAUAGUGUUCAUGCUCUAUAGUAACUGAGCGUUGCUAGUGCAGUGCAUUAAGUGACCUGCUUGAGUGGAACUAGGUGGAGUUGGAAGCUAGUGGUGCUUGCUACUCAUGAGAUUGCCACUUCCUAGACAGUUUGGUUGCUUUUGUUCUUCCUCGUGUGUGGUUCUAGAGAUGGAUUUGUGCGGGGUGUUACACUCGUCCCGUGAGAGAUCGUGAAGAGCAACUCUAGUUGAACAAGGUGUGAUGAGUGUCGGGUGGUUCAACCAGAACAAAGUGCUAGAUCUCUUGUGUGAGCACUUCUUUUGGUGGAGAGAGUGAUCUUAUGUAAUCAUUAUUACCAAGAGGAUUAGCGACAACCUUGGACUUGCCUCAAUGGGAAUUAAAUUAUUGGUAAACCACUAAAUCUUAGGAUAAAAAUCAUCAUGUCAAAGUCUCUUCAUAUUUAUGUUAGUUUCUUUUUGUUCAUAUACUUAUGCCAGUGAGUAUUUAUUUCUCUCGUGUAACUAGUUUACUUGUGUAGUAAAAUAGUUUCUCUCUUGCUAGUUAGCUUGUAUGCUAAUUAGUUUAGCUCAUGUAGCUAAGUAGCUAUAGCUCUCUAUUUGUGUUUGUAUAGUGUAACUAAUGAGUAGUGCUAAGUAGUGUUUGCAUUUUUUGUGUUUUCCUUACUAGUAUGUAUUGAAGAUUCUAGUGUGUUUAGAGUACUUGUAUAGGUUUGUGUGACCUUGUUAUUUAGACUUGUGUAAGAUUCUGAUGAAGACAAUCGAAAAACUAGAAGAAAAAAACGCUAAUCCAUAACGUGAGACGGGGAGGCGUCCUCCUAGCAGCCGCGCGCGCUCACAUUAUCCUCAGGCACCAUCGCACCAUUGGCCGCCGCUCACGCGCAUAAAACCCACAGUCCGCUCGCGACAGCCUCACGGCGCAGGCGAGAAGGCGAGGAGAGGGAGCUCGCCGGCAAAGGCCACCAAGAGCGAAAAGGAACCACAGAGGCAGUCUCCAUGGCCGCCGAGGCGCCCGUGCGAGCCCCCGCCACGGCGCGGUCCUCGCGCCGGCCGGCCGCCGCCGUCGUCUCCGCCUCGCGCCUCCUCCUCGGCCACCGCCCCUUCCUUGCGCCGCGCUUCGCUGCGGGGCGCGCCGCGGUGGCAGGCCCCGCGGCCGGACUACGCCCGCGCCCGCGCAGGCCGCGCCUCUCGGUCGUCGUCAUGGCCAGCAGCGGUGAGCGAGCGCUGUAAUCCUUCUGUGGACUCUCCAUUUUCUUAUUGGGCGCAGCCGCGCAGGCGUUGCUGUAGUGCGCCGGCGCGUGAGUGUUUUCUGUGUUUGUCGAAAUGGCCAAGAGCGUACCUCCGUAGAGCUCCGGUGGAUUGCAGUAUACGAGAGUGAAAUUAAGGCUGAUUGUUAGUGAUUGUGCUGCAUCGUGCUUAUCCAAAGGGACCAGUGUGCUUCUUGACGUGCUUGUCUCUGCCGUGUCUAUAAUACUUGUUUAGGCCCCUAUACUUGUUAAUCGUCUGUGCUUUACCUGAUAAAUUACUUUAAGUUGUUCGUUACUAAAAUGGUGGAAUAUGGUGUUCAGAAUCGAAGUUAUAGCAAUGAUGAACUUCAUAGCUUUCUGAUGGACUUUUGUUUCUGUAGGUGUUAUUCUAAUUAAAUUUGAUUAUCACAAAUCCAGGUUAGAAGUAACUGAAAGCAUAGGCCUUAUAACUAUUCCAAAAAUAUUUCUAAACUUCACUACCUAUAUAUCUAUUUAAAGAGCCAUCCCAUGAAUAUUUUUUUGUGUGAAAAAAUUAUAAGAGAACUACCAUAUUUGGAAUUUAGAGAGCCAUUUAGCCUCUCCAUUAGUGGAAAGCGAGAAGGGUGGUUUUAAAGGGAGGAAAAUAUGGGGACUGGUGUUGAGCGUCUAUUAGAGAUGCUCUUAAGGAGACCCAAUAAUGGAAGUUCUGCAAUUUUUGUUCAAAAAUGGAAGUUCUGCAAAUGAAAAAAUUGGGUCCAUGGCCUUGUUCAGUGAAUGUGCCGCCGCUACAUGAGUUUGCAUGAUGUGAAUUUGCUGCAAGUACAGAAAUAUCGGUGCAGAGGGUGUCAAUAUAGAAUAUACCAUGCUUGGCAUGCCGCUUGGUACUAGAUAUCUAUUGGCACUUGUCAUAUCAAUGCUAAACCUUUCUGCCAUAUACAUCAAUGAGACUGACCAAAUGAACCUCUGAAAAUUGCAUGCCAGUUGUUUUUUAAUUACAUUUCUUAUUGCUAAAUACACCAUUCUUAUAUCACUUUGUUGAUUUAACAAGUUAGAUAUUAACUUGCUUUCUUUUGUAUCCAGAUCGCCAAGUGCCUUUACAUGAUUACCGCAAUAUUGGUAUUAUGGCCCAUAUAGAUGCAGGAAAGACAACAACUACUGAGCGCAUUCUGUAUUACACUGGAAGGAACUACAAGAUUGGUGAGGUUCAUGAGGGAACAGCUACAAUGGAUUGGAUGGAACAAGAACAAGAGAGAGGAAUAACCAUUACAUCUGCAGCAACGACUGCCUUCUGGAACAAACACAGAAUCAACAUUAUUGAUACUCCUGGUCACGUCGACUUCACUCUUGAGGUUGAACGUGCUCUCAGGGUGCUGGACGGUGCUAUAUGUCUCUUUGACAGUGUUGCUGGGGUAGAACCACAAUCUGAAACUGUGUGGCGCCAGGCAGAUAAAUAUGGGGUUCCAAGAAUAUGUUUCGUGAACAAAAUGGACCGCCUUGGAGCUAACUUCUUUAGAACUAGAGACAUGAUCGUUGCAAAUUUGGGUGCCAAACCAUUGGUGAUUCAGUUGCCGAUUGGUUCGGAGGACAAUUUCCAAGGAGUUGUUGAUCUAGUAAGAAUGAAAGCUAUUGUAUGGACAGGGGAGGAGCUGGGUGCAAAAUUUGAAUACAAAGACAUACCUGCUGAUCUCCAAGAGAUGGCUCAAGACUAUCGUGUUCAAAUGCUGGAAACUAUUAUUGAAUUGGAUGAUGAAGUUAUGGAGAAAUAUCUUGAAGGAACUGAACCAGACGAGGAAA